AUUGAACGCUGGCGGCAUGCCUUACACAUGCAAGUCGAACGGUAACAGGUCUUCGGAUGCUGACGAGUGGCGAACGGGUGAGUAAUACAUCGGAACGUGCCCGAUCGUGGGGGAUAACGAAGCGAAAGCUUUGCUAAUACCGCAUAAGAUCUAAGGAUGAAAGCAGGGGACCGCAAGGCCUUGCGCGAACGGAGCGGCCGAUGGCAGAUUAGGUAGUUGGUGGGAUAAAAGCUUACCAAGCCGACGAUCUGUAGCUGGUCUGAGGGGACGACCAGCCACACUGGGACUGAGACACGGCCCAGACUCCUCCGGGAGGCAGCAGUGGGGAAUUUUGGACAAUGGGCGAAAGCCUGAUCCAGCCAUGCCGCGUGCAGGAUGAAGGCCUUCGGGUUGUAAACUGCUUUUGUACGGAACGAAAAGACUCUUUCUAAUAAAGAGGGUCCAUGACGGUACCGUAAGAAUAAGCACCGGCUAACUACGUGCCAGCCGCCGCGGUAA
rnacentral:rRNA from 1 species